rnacentral:rRNA from 1 species
UACGUAGGGGGCUAGCGUUGUCCGGAUUUAUUGGGCGUAAAGAGCGUGUAGGCGGCCAGGUAGGUCUGGUGUGAAAACUCGAGGCUUAACCUCGAGAUGUCAUCGGAAACCAUCUGGCUAGAGUCCGGAAGAGGAGAGUGGAAUUCCGUGGUGUAGCGGUGGAAUGCGCAGAUAUCAGGAAGACACCAAUGGCGAAAGCGGCUCUCUGGACCGGUACUGACGCUGAGACGCGAAAGCGUGGGGAGCGAACAGG